GAUGAACGCUGGCGGCGUGCCUAAUACAUGCAAGUCGAACGCUUUGUCUUUAAUUGAUAUGAAGAGCUUGCUCUGAUUUGAUUUUAUCUGACAAAGAGUGGCGAACGGGUGAGUAACACGUGGGUAACCUACCUCUUAGCAGGGGAUAACAUUUGGAAACAAGUGCUAAUACCGUAUAACACUAACAACCGCAUGGUUGUUAGUUGAAAGAUGGUUCUGCUAUCACUAAGAGAUGGACCCGCGGUGCAUUAGCUAGUUGGUAAGGUAAUGGCUUACCAAGGCGAUGAUGCGUAGCCGAGUUGAGAGACUGAUCGGCCACAAUGGGACUGAGACACGGCCCAUACUCCUACGGGGGGCAGCAGUAGGGAAUCUUCCACAAAGGGCGCAAGCCUGAUGGAGCAACGCCGCGUGUGUGAUGAGGGGUUUCGGCUCGUAAAACACUGUUAUAAGAGAAGAACGACAUUGAGAGUAACUGUUCAGUGUGUGACGGUAUCUUACCAGAAAGGAACGGCUAAAUACGUG
rnacentral:rRNA from 1 species